UGGGGAAUAUUGCGCAAUGGGGGAAACCCUGACGCAGCAACGCCGCGUGGGCGAUGAAGGCCUUCGGGUCGUAAAGCCCUUUUUGAGGGGAUGAGGAAGGACAGUACCCUCAGAAUAAGCCUCGGCUAACUACGUGCCAGCAGCCGCGGUAAAACGUAGGAGGCGAGCGUUAUCCGGAUUUACUGGGCGUAAAGCGCGUGCAGGCGGAUUGGAGAGUUGGAUGUGAAAGCUCCCGGCUUAACUGGGAGAGGUCGUUCAAUACUUCCAGUCUUGAGUGCAGUAGAGGGAAGUGGAAUUCCGGGUGUAGUGGUGAAAUGCGUAGAUAUCCGGAGGAACACCAGUGGCGAAAGCGGCUUCCUGGACUGUAACUGACGCUCAGACGCGAAAGCUAGGGUAGCAAACG
rnacentral:rRNA from 1 species